AUGACUCGGGCUAAGAGCGAGAGCGACCGGGUGAUGCCUGGUCCGGACCAGGUUGACUUGGCAUCCCACGAUGAUGAUAGCGCGAGGGAGUCACCACGUAGGAGAGCUGGACCACAACUGAAGAAAGGCCCUUGGACACCGGCCGAGGAUGCCAUCUUGGAGGCGUAUGUUAAGAAGCAUGGUGUGCAGAACUGGAAUGUGGUGCAGAAGGACACCGGGCUGUUAAGGUGCGGCAAGAGCUGCCGUCUCCGCUGGGCAAACCACCUGAGGCCCGACCUAAAGAAGGGCACUUUCACCAAAGAGGAGGAGAACCUAAUCAUUAAGCUCCAUUCCAAAAUGGGGAAUAAGUGGGCUCGAAUGGCUGCCCGUUUGCCAGGGCGCACUGAUAAUGAAAUAAAAAACUACUGGAACACUCGAAUAAAGAAAUGCCAGCGCACCUCUACGCCUAUAUAUCCUGCUGAAAUAUGCCUACAGGCUUCAAAUGAAGAUCAGCAUGAGUCCGCUGACUUCAGUUUUAGCGAGAAGCUGGCCAAUGAUCUCCUCCAUGGAAAUGGUUUAUAUGAUCCCAGUUCAACGUGGGGCGAUUUCAUUGAUGACCAAGAAGCUUUGUCUUAUGCGCCCCAGCUUCCAGAUGUUUCUUUCAGCAAUUUACCUGGUCUGUACUUUGAGUCAACAAACCAUGGCUUCGUGGAUCAAGUUAACCAAGCAGAAGUUCUGAAAGAAUCUGAGAUUUCAUUUCCUUGGUUGAACGCGGCCAUCAAUGGUACCUUCGAUGGCAGCCAUGCCUUUUCAAAUGGCAACUUCUCUACUUCUAGGCCCAUGACUGGUCCCUGGAAGAUGGAGCUCCCUUCAUUCCAAUUUGCUGGAUCUGAUCCAAACAACUGGUCCGCAUACUCAAGGACCUGUGCUGCGCAGGGUGCCAACUUUGCUGAUCCCUGCAUGCGCUCAUCAGCGGCAAUGGCAUCAGCUAAGUUUGAGCACAUGUGCAUGAUACCAGGGAACAGCGGUCAGUUGGAAGAGCCGCUUCCAGAAGCUCAUGCAGUAAGCUCUGCAGAGAACCAGCAGCUGUCCGUGGGGAGUUCGAGUGCCUCUACUGGCUCACCCUGCGAUGCUAUGGUGGAAACAUCAGAGCUCCAUUUCUUGGAGCGAGACCCCAACCUGUACGCUCUUGUCAACAGCUGUUCGCCCGCCUCGCCUCUUUGCCAAGCAUCGCCUGAUGAGUUACCGUGCUCCGAUUUUUCAUCUGCAGCGAGCCCUGUGUUUGUAUCAGAUGAACCAACAAUCCUGCAAUACGAAAAAGGAUUUCUCUUGCCUCAUCCUGAAGAUUCCGGGGCAGACGCAUUCUCCCAUUGGAACGCGAUGCCGCCCAUCUUCCAGUGA
rnacentral:rRNA from 1 species